rnacentral:rRNA from 1 species
CCUGGUUGAUUCUGCCAGUAGUCAUAUGCUUGUCUCAAAGAUUAAGCCAUGCAUGUCUAAGUAUAAGCAAUUAUACCGUGAAACUGCGAAUGGCUCAUUAAAUCAGUUAUCGUUUAUUUGAUAAUACCUUACUACUUGGAUAACCGUGGUAAUUCUAGAGCUAAUACAUGCUGAAAAUCCCGACUUCGGAAGGGAUGUGUUUAUUAGAUAAAAAACCAAUGCCCUUCGGGGCUCCUUGGUGAUUCAUAAUAACUUUACGGAUCGCAUAGCCUUGCGCUGGCGACGGUUCAUUCAAAUUUCUGCCCUAUCAACUUUCGAUGGUAAGGUAUUGGCUUACCAUGGUUUCAACGGGUAACGGGGAAUUAGGGUUCGAUUCCGGAGAGGGAGCCUGAGAAACGGCUACCACAUCCAAGGAAGGCAGCAGGCGCGCAAAUUACCCAAUCCCGAUUCGGGGAGGUAGUGACAAUAAAUACUGAUACAGGGCUCUUUUGGGUCUUGUAAUUGGAAUGAGUACAAUUUAAACCUCUUAACGAGGAACAAUUGGAGGGCAAGUCUGGUGCCAGCAGCCGCGGUAAUUCCAGCUCCAAUAGCGUAUAUUAAAGUUGUUGCAGUUAAAAAGCUCGUAGUUGAAACUUGGGUCUGGCUGGCGGGUCCGCCUCACCGCGUGCACUCGUCCGGCCGGGCCUUCCUUCUGAAGAACCUCAUGCCCUUUACUGGGCGUGUUGGGGAAUCAGGACUUUUACUUUGAAAAAAUUAGAGUGUUCAAAGCAGGCCUUUGCUCGAAUACGUUAGCAUGGAAUAAUAAAAUAGGGCGUGCGUUUCUAUUUUGUUGGUUUCUAGAGACGCCGCAAUGAUUAACAGGAACAGUCGGGGGCAUCAGUAUUCAGUUGUCAGAGGUGAAAUUCUUGGAUUUACUGAAGACUAACUACUGCGAAAGCAUUUGCCAAGGAUGUUUUCAUUAAUCAGUGAACGAAAGUUAGGGGAUCGAAGACGAUCAGAUACCGUCGUAGUCUUAACCGUAAACUAUGCCGACUAGGGAUCGGGCGAUGUUCUUUUUCUGACUCGCUCGGCACCUUACGAGAAAUCAAAGUUUUUGGGUUCUGGGGGAUUAUGGUCGCAAGGCUGAAACUUAAAGAAAUUGACGGAAGGUCACCACCAGGCGUGGAGCCUGCGGCUUAAUUUGACUCAACACGGGGAAACUCACCAGGUUCAGAUGAAAUAAGGAUUGACAGAUUGAGAGCUCUUUCUUGAUUUUUCAGGUGGUGGUGCAUGGCCGUUCUUAGUUCGUGGGUGACUUGUCUGCUUAAUUGCGAUAACGAGCGAGACCUUACUCUGCUAAAUAGCCAGGCUAGCUUUGGCUGGUCGCCGGCUUCUUAGAGAGACUAUCAACUCAAGUUGAUGGAAGUUUGAGGCAAUAACAGGUUAACCUACACAGGCCUGUAACAGUGGGCCUCGUUAAAGAUAACUGCUAGUCUAGCGUCUUAACCUUCUUUGGGGAAGUCCCCUACUGUCGGGAGAAGGCAAGUUUUACUUGUGACGUAGGCAACACCACCUGGUACAGG